rnacentral:rRNA from 1 species
UACAGAGGUCUCAAGCGUUGUUCGGAUUCAUUGGGCGUAAAGGGUGCGUAGGUGGCGCUGUAAGUCGGGUGUGAAAUUUCGGAGCUUAACUCCGAAACUGCAUUCGAUACUGCGGUGCUUGAGGACUGGAGAGGAGACUGGAAUUCAUGGUGUAGCAGUGAAAAUGCGUAGAGAUCAUGAGGAAGACCAGUGGCGAAGGCGGGUCUCUGGACAGUUCCUGACACUGAGACGAAGGCCAGGGGAGCAAACGGG